rnacentral:rRNA from 1 species
AGAGUUUGAUCCUGGCUCAGAACGAACGCUGGCGGCGUGCUUAACACAUGCAAGUCGAACGAGAAAGUUCCUUCGGGAACGAGUAAAGUGGCGCACGGGUGAGUAACGCGUAGAUAACCUGUCCAGGUGUAUGGGAUAGCCCUUCGAAAGGGGGAUUAAUACCGUAUACGUUGGUCUUCUUUAAGGAGGAUCAAGAAAGGUGGCCUCUAUUUAUAAGCUAUCGCAUUUGGAGGGGUCUGCGUACCAUUAGUUUGUUGGUGGGGUAAUGGCCUACCAAGACUUCGAUGGUUAGCGGGUCUGAGAGGAUGAUCCGUCACACUGGCACUGAAACACGGGCCAGACUCCUACGGGAGGCAGCAGUGAGGAAUAUUGCGCAAUGGGGGAAACCCUGACGCAGCGACGCCGCGUGGGUGAGGAAGGCUUUCGGGUCGUAAAGCCCUGUCAGAAGGGAAGAAAUGUUUACAGGAUAAUACCCUGUAGAUUUGACGGUACCUUCAAAGGAAGCACCGGCUAACUCCGUGCCAGCAGCCGCGGUAAUACGGAGGGUGCAAGCGUUGUUCGGAAUCACUGGGCGUAAAGGGCGCGCAGGCGGUUUGAUUAGUCAGAUGUGAAAGCCCACGGCUUAA